UACAGAGGUCUCAAGCGUUGUUCGGAAUUACUGGGCGUAAAGCGAGUGUAGGUGGUUGUCCAAGUUGGAUGUGAAAGCCUUGAGCUCAACUCAAGAAAUGCAUUCAGGACUGGAUGGCUAGAGGACCGGAGAGGAUAGUGGAAUUCCCAGUGUAGUGGUGAAAUACGUAGAGAUUGGGAAGAACACCAGUGGCGAAGGCGGCUAUCUGGACGGUUUCUGACACUAAGACUCGAAAGCGUGGGGAGCAAACAGG
rnacentral:rRNA from 1 species